CGCGAUUUUUCAAAUGCGCGAAAUGCAAAUGUAAACAUUGACUUUUAAUCGGUUCGAUUGUGGACUUGCAUUAAUAGAUUGGAAUAUUUUAUUUUUGAAAACUGCUCUUUUAAGAACAACUAUGUCAGCAGAAAGUAUAGAUCUUGAAUUGAUAACUUCCCUGUUCGACAUUCAGUUGUCCGAUCGAUCAGGACUUGUACGUGAGGUACAAGCUGCAGAAGAACUAUUGCACCAAUAUGAGUUGCUAAGUACCACAAAUUUCGCUUGUAUCAAGCAAAAUCAAGGAUUCGGAAGCACAGGUAAGGUCUUCCAAAAACUAUUUGUAAACCUCCAGGAAGAAGGGGGAAUAUACGAAGCAUAAGUUUUAUUGGGAUUCCUAUGAUUAAAUUGGCUAAGAUGGGGCUAAGGGAGUGUUCAUUAUUUAUGGUUUCGGGGGGGGGGCAUUUCACGCCUCCCUCUCAAUAUCUGCAUGACCCCCCUCCGGCAACAGCAAAACUGCCAUCACCCCUCCCCCAAGAAAAAAAAACAAAAACUUUAGUGACCCCCCGCCCAAACCAAAAAUAAUGAACACUCCUAAAGAGUGGGAGUUUUAUUAAAACACAAAAAAACGCUGGUUAACCAAUUAAGACUCAAUUGUCACGUUGAAAAUAUUGGUUAAUUAAUGAGAAUGGAAAUACAAAAAAAAUUGGCUGCAGAAUUUAAAAACAAAAUUUUGUAGAUGCUAGACGUGAAAAUCACAAGGUCAUGUGGGAAACAGAUUAUUUGCCUUUCGACAACGCGCCUCUUUCAUUGUCGUUAAUCACAGAGUAUAUGACUGCCAGCACGGAGUUGACCGACAUUUGAGUGUUAAAAAAAGAAGUAAUACGGUAAGCAAUAAUUUUUUUCAUGUCACAAAAUACUUUGCACAUUAAUAAUAAUAUUCACCGCUACAUUAUAUUUAUGAUAACCAUGUCUACAGUAAUUUUUCUUUCAUUACAUUGCAGGUUGGGGAUCACUCUUUUAAGAGAGUUAAAAAAGGGAACAUGGUUCAGGAAUCAAGGAAACUUAACUGCAAGGCACAAGUACACAUGAGAGAGUGCAUUAAAUUUCCAGGUUUUCAGGUACAAAAAUAGAUAGAAAUAAGAUUUUACAAAGAUAAGAGUCACAGACAUAAUUCUACAAUGAUUUAGCUUAUUAUAUUGUAACAGAUUCCUGAAAUAACAACAUGGCGCUGUCAAACCCAGUCCAAGAAACUGAGAGAGUCCAUCAAGGAAGGAUUAAAUGGGGAAAG